rnacentral:rRNA from 1 species
AUUGAACGCUGGCGGCAGGCCUAACACAUGCAAGUCGAGCGGAGCGGCGGACGGGUGAGUAAUGCCUCGGAAUCUGCCUGGUAGUGGGGGAUAACGUCCGGAAACGGGCGAUAAUACCGAAUACUAUCAGAUGAGCCUAGGUCGGAUGAGCUAGUUUGUGGGGUAAAGGCCUACCAAGGCGACGAUCCGUAACUGGUCUGAGAGGAUGAUCAGUCAAACUGGAACGAGGACACGGUCCAGGAUCCGACGGGCGGCAGCAGUGGGGAAUAUGGGACAAUGGUGUAAAGCCUGAUCCAGCCAUGCCGCGUGUGUGAAGAAGGUCUUCGGAUUGUAAAGCACUUUAAGUUGGGAGGCGGUACCAACAGAAUAAGCACCGGCUAACUUCGGGCCAGCAGCCGCGGUAAUAC